rnacentral:rRNA from 1 species
AGAGUUUGAUCCUGGCUCAGAUUGAACGCUGGCGGCAUGCCUAACACAUGCAAGUCGAACGGUAACGACGGGAGCUUGCUCCCGGGCGACGAGUGGCGGACGGGUGAGUAAUACUUAGGAAUCUGCCCAGUAGUGGGGGACAACUCGAGGAAACUCGAGCUAAUACCGCAUACGCCCUACGGGGGAAAGCGGAGGAUCUUUCGGGACUUCGCGCUAUUGGAUGAGCCUAAGUCGGAUUAGCUUGUUGGUGGGGUAAAGGCCUACCAAGGCGACGAUCUGUAGCUGGUCUGAGAGGACGAUCAGCCACACUGGGACUGAGACACGGCCCAGACUCCUACGGGAGGCAGCAGUGGGGAAUAUUGGACAAUGGGGGCAACCCUGAUCCAGCAAUGCCGCGUGUGUGAAGAAGGCCUGCGGGUUGUAAAGCACUUUCAGUAGAGAAGAAAUGCCCAUGGUUAAUACCCGUGGGUCUUGACGUAACCUACAGAAGAAGCACCGGCUAACUCCGUGCCAGCAGCCGCGGUAAUACGGAGGGUGCGAGCGUUAAUCGGAAUUACUGGGCGUAAAGCGCGCGUAGGCGGUUUGGUCAGUCGGAUGUGAAAGCCCCAGGCUCAACCUGGGAAUGGCAUUCGAUACUGCCUGACUAGAGUAUGGUAGAGGGAAGUGGAAUUUCCGGUGUAGCGGUGAAAUGCGUAGAUAUCGGAAGGAACACCAGUGGCGAAGGCGACUUCCUGGGCCAAUACUGACGCUGA